GUUAAGAGUUUUUUGUAGGAUUGAAACUUAUGUUUGCAGGGCUGGCAGGUUAAACAAAACAAACACCGUUUGUCUAUAUAAACUGAGCAAAUUAAACGUGAUAUAAGUGUACCCUCUUGAUGCCAUUUGUACAAAGUUGUUAGUGUAUAUGGAGAAUAGAUGGGUCAAGAACUGCAUUUUAAGAUAUCUGCAGUUGCAAGGAAAAUACUAGAGUGUAUUGGUUUUGAAAUGGCAUUUAGCCAUCAGAGUUCCGGGUAUCCACCUUACUGCCAUAGUGGAGCCAGCAGCGGGCCAAAAUGAAGUUCAAUCCUUUUGUGACCUCGGACCGCAGCAAGAACUGCAAGAGGCACUUCAAUGCACCCUCUCACAUUCGCAGGAAGAUCAUUGUGUAGGGAAAAAGUGUUGAUGGCAGGGUAG